ensembl:lncRNA
UAGGAUGUAUUAACAAUAUUUAUUCACUACAAGCUCCAGUGUUAUUUUUCCUAUUUCAUUUCAACCCAACAGUCAGAAUGAGAUGUGUUUCUUUUUCUUUACAUAUUUACAGAUUGGUUUCACUAUUGGCAAUAUAUCACAUUUAUCUAUAUACACAACCCAUUUAUCACCUUGUUGACACUAAGCACUUUGAAUGGUCACUAAGACCAGAAAAGCGCCAUAUAAAUGCAGUCUAUUUAUCGUUCUUGCCAGCCAUCAGCAGAAGAUGUUUGUUAAAUAUGGGUUAAAACCUCAGUAGAUUUCUACUGAUUGUGUUCUCUUUCCGCCUUAUCUCUUGAAAACAGAGGGCAGAGCAAAAGUAAAAUAAACUCCAUUUAGUUUUACUUUUGGAACUUUCCAUUCUCUUUAGGAAUAAAGCUAAAGGCCUUAGAAUAAGAGUUCAGUAAUGCUUUCAGAAAGUGUUCAGGGCAGGGACACUGGAAGAGAUUGUGAGUGAAAUAUUCACAAAGACUUUAUUAUGAAAACACUGACAGACAAAAAGGAGGGGAUGCGAUCACUGAUCUUUGACCAUCUGCCCUCGUUUAGCCUUUCUCUAUUUAAAAUCAGUGUGUUCAAGUGCCGUAGCUCUCCAGCACUGUAGACAAAGGAAAACAAAGAAAGAAAUGGGUCCAUGUAGUCAGACCAUACAUGAGCAAGUCAGUUUAUGAUACUGGAGUAACUGAUUAAUGUAAACUGAAUACUGAAUAAAUGAAGAAUAUGGAGAUCCAAAGUACCAGCCGUUAUAAUGUCAGAAAAGCAAUUCUGGGUUAUGGUGAAGCACACGUAACUGUCAGGACAUUAACAUCAUAACAUAUUAGGCCUGUAUAACUUGAUAUUUAUUGCUCCCAUUAUCAAAAUAUUUGGUGGGAUUCGUCUGAAAGUGAGUACUGAAAAUCAGUAUUUCAUUUAAAAAUGUUCAAAUAUUGACUUUAAGUUACCUUUUGAAAAGUGCAAGUAUUUCUGAACUGAUUACUCAUCAAAUGUGGUACAAGCGUACUUCCAAGUCAUAGCUAUGGAUAAAUACAAUUUGGUUUUGGAAAGAGGUGAAAUGAAAGAGUAGGAGAAAAAAAAAGGUUAACAGUGAGACACCUUCAGUUCUCACUAUAAUGAUUUUAAUGGAAGAACAUGACAGCCAAUCAAAAAUACAAGAAGAAGAAGAAGAAGAA